UACAGAGGUGGCAAGCGUUGUUCGGAAUUACUGGGCGUAAAGGGCGCGUAGGCGGUCUUGUCAGUCCCUUGUGAAAUCCCCCGGCUCAACUUGGGAACUGCAUCCGAUACUGGAUGGCUUGAAUCCGGGAGAGGGAUGCAGAAUUCCAGGUGUAGCGGUGAAAUGCGUAGAUAUCUGGAGGAAUACCGGUGGCGAAGGCGGCAUCCUGGACCGGCAUUGACGCUGAGGAGCGAAAGCUAGGGGAGCAAACGGG
rnacentral:rRNA from 1 species